UACGAAGGGGGCUAGCGUUGUUCGGAAUUACUGGGCGUAAAGCGUGCGCAGGCGGCUUCUCAAGUCAGGGGUGAAAGCCCAGAGCUCAACUCUGGAAUUGCCUUUGAGACUGAGUGGCUUGAGUACGAGAGAGGUGAGUGGAAUUCCCAGUGUAGAGGUGAAAUUCGUAGAUAUUGGGAAGAACACCGGUGGCGAAGGCAGCUCGCUGGGACGUGACUGACGCUGAGACGCGAAAGCGUGGGGAGCAAACAGG
rnacentral:rRNA from 1 species